UACAGAGGGUGCGAGCGUUAAUCGGAAUUACUGGGCGUAAAGCGUGCGUAGACGGUUAUUUAAGUCGGAUGUGAAAGCCCCGGGCUCAACCUGGGAAUUGCAUUUGAGACUGAAUAGCUAGGGUGCGGAAGAGGGAAGCGGAAUUUCCGGUGUAGCAGUGAAAUGCGUAGAUAUCGGAAGGAACAUCAGUGGCGAAAGCGGCUUCCUGGUCCAGCACCGACGUUCAGGCACGAAAGCGUGGGGAGCAAACAGG
rnacentral:rRNA from 1 species